rnacentral:rRNA from 1 species
GACGAACGCUGGCGGCGUGCUUAACACAUGCAAGUCGAGCGGUAAGGCCCUUUCGGGGGUACACGAGCGGCGAACGGGUGAGUAACACGUGGGUGACCUGCCCUCAGCUCUGGGAUAAGCCCGGGAAACUGGGUCUAAUACUGGAUAUUACUCUGCGGUGCAUGCCGUGGGGUGGAAAGCCUUGUGCGGCUGGGGAUGGGCCCGCGGCCUAUCAGCUUGUUGGUGGGGUGAUGGCCUACCAAGGCGACGACGGGUAGCCGGCCUGAGAGGGCGACCGGCCACACUGGGACUGAGACACGGCCCAGACUCCUACGGGAGGCAGCAGUGGGGAAUCUUGCGCAAUGGGCGAAAGCCUGACGCAGCGACGCCGCGUGAGGGAUGACGG